GCUGGGCGUGGUGGUGUGUGCCUGUAAUCCCAGCUACUUGGGGAGGCUGAGGCAGGAGAAUCAUUUGAACCCAGGAGGCCAAGGUUGCAGUGAGCUGAGAUCGCGCCACUGCACUCCAGCCUGGGUGACAGAGAGAGACUCUGUCUCAA
rnacentral:SRP_RNA from 1 species